UGUCAGAACGGAACUGUAUAGAAAUUGUCACUAAACUGAUUGCGGAAAAGCAGUUGGAAGUAGUGCACACACUUGAUGGAAAAGAGUAUGUCACUCCAGCACAGAUUAGUAGGGAGAUCCGGGAUGAGCUUCAUGUUUGUGGUGGUCGAGUAAACAUUGUUGACUUACAACAGGUAAUAAAUGUGGACCUUCUGCACAUUGAAAACAGAGCUAACGACAUCGUUAAAUCUGAAAAAACUAUUCAGCUUGUACUGGGACAGCUUAUAAAUGAGAGUUACCUGGAUCAAUUAGCAGAAGAAAUAAAUGAUAAACUACAGGAAACUGGCCAGGUGACAAUAUCAGAACUCUGUAAGGCGUACGACCUUCCGGGAGACUUCCUGAUACAGGCAUUAUCCAGGCGUUUGGGUAGAAUUAUUCAUGGACAACUAGACCAGGAAAACCGUGGGGUGAUUUUUACAGAAGCCUUUGUGUCCCGGCAUCGAGCACGCAUUCGUGGUCUCUUCACUGCGAUU